ACUUGAGUGAGUGAUGCAUCCGCGUUG
rnacentral:sRNA from 1 species